UGGAGAGUUUGAUCCUGGCUCAGGACGAACGCUGGCGGCGUGCUUAACACAUGCAAGUCAAGGAGAACGAAUCCUUCGGGAUACUAUUAAACUGGCGAACGGGUGAGUAACACGUAGGCAACCUACCUCAGAGAUUGGGAUAACUUCGGGAAACCGGAGCUAAUACCGAAUAAUGCAGCGGAUCCUUCGGGAUAUGUUGUUAAAGUGGGCUUCGGCUCACACUUUGAGAUGGGCCUGCGUCCGAUUAGCUUGUUGGUGAGGUAAUGGCUUACCAAGGCGAUGAUCGGUAGCUGGUCUGAGAGGAUGAUCAGCCACACUGGGAUUGAGAUACGGCCCAGACUCCUACGGGAGGCAGCAGUGGGGAAUUUUGCGCAAUGGGGGAAACCCUGACGCAGCAAC
rnacentral:rRNA from 1 species